UUGAUUCCGUCAAAACUGAGAAAAAGUUUGGGAGAAUUAACAAGGUUUUGAGUGGAUUUGGGUAUCGAAUAAGACGGGGGGUUCGAUUGGAUUGGAUUGGAUCGAUAGAAAAUGGUAUCGACGGAGGGGCUGGUGCCCAUAACAAGGUCUUUUCUGGCUUCGUACUACGAUAACUACCCUUUUUCUCCUCUAUCCAGUGACGUUUCCCGUCUCACUGAUCAGAUUUUUGCUAUGGCUACCACCGAUCUUCUUAAGGACUCUCCCCCCACCCAAGGAGAAAGCUUAUUGGUACAAGAAGCUGAACGCCAACCUCCUCACAAAGUUGAUGAGAACAUGUGGAAAAACCGUGAGCAGAUUGAAGAGAUCCUUUUCAUGUUGGAACCAACUCAUUGGCCCAGAGCGUUUCAGCAACAGUCAACAGUUGAAGACGCUGAACUUGUCUCUCUGCUUGGGCGGCUUCAAGAAAAUUUCAAAUCUACCCUGAGCACUUUGGAGAGUUUUCAAGCCAAAAAUUCCGAGUUUGUUUUCAACACAGUUAUGACCUAUAUGCCACAAGAUUUUCGGGGUACAAUAAUCAGGCAACAGAGAGAUCGCUCGGAGAGAAACAAACAGGCUGCAAUUGAUGCUUUAAUUAGCUCUGGUGGAAGCAUACGUGAUAAAUAUGCUCUGCUAUGGGAGCAACAGAUGGAGCGAAGGAGGCAGUUAGCUGAGCUUGGUUCUGCAACAGGCGUCUAUAAGACUCUGAUGAAAUACUUGGUUGGAGUGCCAGAAGUUUUGAUGGAUUUUAUUCGGCAAAUAAAUGAUGAUCAAGGGCCCAUGGAGGAGCAGCGACAGCGAUAUGGACCACCUCUGUAUAGCCUUACGAAAAUGGCGCAUAGCAUCCGUCUGCUUCUCUCUCUGCUAUGGGGCCGACUUGAAACUAGUAAAUUGCAGAAAAACCAAGUAGUCAUUUUGGAAGAGGCAGCUGAUGUCUACACUUCUGAGUUCCAAAGAUUUAUCAAAUUUAUUGGGGAGGUUUUCACAAAUUCCCCCUUUUUCAUUACUGCAGAGGAUGCCGGUACAUUAUCAAUCAGGAAAGAUGAUGACUACAAAGAAAUAAGUGUUCCAGCUGGGAGUGCUCAUGAGGUGUCUUUAACAGUGGAAUCAGUAAAUUCAUACAUUGCUUGGGAUUUCUCACUGGUACAAGGCAAAUUGAAUGUGGAUAUAGGAUUCAGCGUAGAGUGCACAAAUCUUUCUGGGGAGAAAACUCUGAUAUUGCCGUAUCAGCGUUAUGAAGCUAACCAAGGUAACUUUUGCACAUGCGUUCCUGGAAACUACAAGCUUAUCUGGGAUAAUUCGUACUCAUCAUUUUUUAAGAAGGUCGGUAAAUAAAUUUAUGCCAAACAAGAAUUUUCUGGUUCCACCAUAUGUUUAUGGUUAGUAUUAGUUGCUCAAUACAGUGUACUGAUUGUUAGUGUCGUUUGCAUUGCCAUUGUUUUUGGAACUUUCGAUGGGAUUUUGUUUAUCGUUGCAACUGGAAAUUCCUUUCAGGACAUAUACAAGAUAUAGAUGCAAGCAGAAUGAUGGUAGAAGCUAUAUUAGCAUCUUAUAAGCCCUAGUGGAGCCGUCCCGUUGAUCCAAUUUAUGGAUUUUAAUCAUAAAUUGUAUACUUGCUUGUAAUACUAACCGUCCCUUUUCGCCCCGCUUCUAGAUGUCAUUCUUCAGAGUCUUAAUCAAAUAAUGUUCCCCAUGUUGUCUUCAACUUUAAUAAUUCCCCAUAUCCCUGCUAACUUACCCAAUACUUACAACUGGCUAGUGUUAAUUAGACUACAUUCAGUGGUUGCAACAUUCAUACCCUUGAAACUUUCUGUGAACAUCUGCUUGACUUGUAGAGAUUUGGAAUUUUCUUCAACCAAUUAUUUGAAUAUUAUUUGUGAAUGUUUUUUACGAAUAAGUGACCCAACUUCCCUUUUCCCCCUUCCAACUCUGUUAUGUGCUGA